AGCGAACGUUAGCGGCGGGCCUAACACAUGCAAGUCGAACGCGAAAGGUCUUCGGACUGAGUAGAGUGGCGCACGGGUGAGUAACACGUAGGUAAUCUACCCUUUGGCGGGGAUAACGUUCCGAAGGAGCGCUAAUACCGCAUAAGACCACGGAGUCUCCGGACGCUGUGGGAAAAGGUGGCCUCUUCUUGAAAGCUAUCACCGAAGGAUGAGCCUGCGUCCCAUCAGCUAGUUGGUAAGGUAAUGGCUUACCAAGGCGAAGACGGGUAGCUGGUUUGAGAGAAUGAUCAGCCACACUGGCACUGGAACACGGGCCAGACUCCUACGGGAGGCAGCAGUGAGGAAUAUUGGGCAAUGGGCGAAAGCCUGACCAGCCACGCCGCGUGAGUGAUGAAGGCCCUCGGGUCGUAAAGCUCUGUGGAGAGGGACGAAAACCCUGGUUUCAAAUAGGCUCCAGGCUUGACGGUACCUCUUUAGCAAGCACCGGCUAACUCUGUGCCAGCAG
rnacentral:rRNA from 1 species